GGAUUAGAUACCCUGGUAGUCCACGCUGUAAACGAUGAGCACUAGAAAUGGGGGGUAUUGACCCCUUCCGUUUCGUAGCUAACGCAUUAAGUGCUCCGCCUGGGGAGUACGGUCGCAAGACUAAAACUCAAAGGAAUUGACGGGGGCCCGCACAAGCGGUGGAUUAUGUGGUUUAAUUCGAAGCAACGCGCAAAACCUUACCUGGGCUUGAAAUCCUACGAAUCCCGCCCAAAAGCGGGAGUGCUCUUUGGAGAAUGUAGUGACAGGCGCUGCAUGGCUGUCGUCAGCUCGUGCUG
rnacentral:rRNA from 1 species